AUCUCUCCAACAUACUUCAUUUUCGCUGACGAUGUGAUAUGCUUUGUAAAGGCUAAUCUUAAAUCUCUGAGGGCAAUAUUAAGACAGGCAGUAUUGGAGGACUUUACAAAAAAUUCAGGACUGGAAAUUAAUUUUUCCAAGAGUUCGUUGAUAUUCUCCGAUUCAUGUGAUCAGAUCAAGGAUGACCUGCUGCAGUUGAU
rnacentral:lncRNA from 1 species